CUGAUGUUAGCGGCGGACGGGUGAGUAACACGUGGGUAACCUGCCUGUAAGACUGGGAUAACUCCGGGAAACCGGGGCUAAUACCGGAUGGUUGUUUGAACCGCAUGGUUCAAACAUAAAAGGUGGCUUCGGCUACCACUUACAGAUGGACCCGCGGCGCAUUAGCUAGUUGGUGAGGUAACGGCUCACCAAGGCAACGAUGCGUAGCCGACCUGAGAGGGUGAUCGGCCACACUGGGACUGAGACACGGCCCAGACUCCUACGGGAGGCAGCAGUAGGGAAUCUUCCGCAAUGGACGAAAGUCUGACGGAGCAACGCCGCGUGAGUGAUGAAGGUUUUCGGAUCGUAAAGCUCUGUUGUUAGGGAAGAACAAGUACCGUUCGAAUAGGGCGGUACCUUGACGGUACCUAACCAGAAAGCCACGGCUAACUACGUGCCAGCAGCCGCGGUAAUACGUAGGUGGCAAGCGUUGUCCGGAAUUAUUGGGCGUAAAGGGCUCGCAGGCGGUUUCUUAAGUCUGAUGUGAAAGCCCCCGGCUCAACCGGGGAGGGUCAUUGGAAACUGGGGAACUUGAGUGCAGAAGAGGAGAGUGGAAUUCCACGUGUAGCGGUGAAAUGCGUAGAGAUGUGGAGGAACACCA
rnacentral:rRNA from 1 species